ensembl:lncRNA
CGUCACGAGACGUGUAGUCUUUCUCAUUGUGUUUUCUCUACAGCCUUUAACUGAACAAUUGCACAAUAAACGGUCAAACUCUUGACACGAAAAUUAUAAUUUAAAUCCACAAAAAAGAUAUCUGUAAUCCGGGGCAUAUAAAGACUGGGACCAGAAGAUAAUUACUUUCUCUCCAUUGAAACCAUGGGCUCUACCGGAAAGGGCUUGACCUCACCACUCAAUACCCAGGUGCAUACCUUCGAGCAACAAUUAUCUUGUCCAGAUCUAAAUAAAGCUACUGUAGGCCACAUCGGUUCUAGGAAUGAAAGUCUCCAGCGUCCGUGUCAUAUGCUCUCUGGGGCCUGUCGCUCAUGCAGUCUUCCGGCAGCUCAGGAACAUUCCCUGCACGGGCUCAUGUCGCCAUUCCAAGAAAUCUGCCACGCAAAACCCGUCACUAAUGGCAGUGAAUAACAGGACUCCUACAGCAGCCCCCCAGACAGACCAGUACCGGGACUGGGUGCAGAACAGUACCGGGACUUAGUGCAGACCAGUAUCGGGACUUGGUGCAGACCAGGACCAGGACUGGGUGCAGACCAGGUGGCAUUGCGGGCAGAUGUUGGUGUUCUCAGAGCCGCUUGGCGCCUCGUGGUAUGAACCAUGACCGGUCUGCGCAGUAAUGAAGGUCGAUCUCUAGGAUAUAGUUCACCCCAACGCUCUCUUACAGAAACCCAGUCUGAAAUCAGAACGAAAAAUACUACUGCUCGGUAGGUCAAGUGCCUACCGGGAGGAAAUGGCACGAAACAGACGUUGCAUUGGCCGGGAAUCGUACCCGGGCCUCCCGCGCGGGAGCCGAAAAUGGUUGAGCUUAACUUCCUUAACUUUCCCCAUUCAUUCUCAAUGGUAGUUCUUAACAGUACGGAUGUAAUAUAUUUCCGGUCACUGGUGGACAUUUGGCGCUGUCCCGAGUUUCCGUUAUUUAGGUUAGGUUAUUACAAUGGUCUUACCUGUCAACAACACUUAUCGCGGACCUUCAUAUAGCAUAGGCUUACACUUUUUAGCUUGAUGGUAAAACGCGACGCUGCUUCAAAACUGAAAUGGUACGUAGGAGAAUAGAUAGUAUUCUCGAUCGUCAAUACUAUAUAUAUAGAGAAUAUAUAGUAUUGACGAUCGAUUUGAUGUACAGUUAGUAGUCAUAUGCAACGUUAACGUUGUAUAUCAAUCUACUUUUGGUCUGAUAUUUGCUGUGUAUAGUGCUACCAAUGUAUGUCUUUUAAUGUUUGAGCCAAUUUAACUUACUGUCUAUUAUUAUCAGACAUCACAUCAAUCAAUGACAUGGUGUCAUUAAUUAUUAGUAUUAUCAUCUGUUUUGUUAUGUUUAAUUAUUUUUUCUUCUCUCCUACUAUUUUUCUCCAUCUUUCUAGCAGCCUUUACACCCCUUAAAUUGUGUGCAGCUCCUGCAACUCACAGACACAAAGUAGUGUUUAUUUCAGCCAGCAUGAAGGUAAAGGUUAUUUUCCCGGGAAAGGUCAAGGUUUCUUUCCGGAGAGGGCCGACUGGGUAUUUGAGGCAAGACCCAUCAGUCGAGGCUAAGAGGAUUAAAGACCACCCUGACCUCCAGGACAAGUCAGCGGCCCAGAAUGAAGACCGGGUGAAAGACAAUGCCAGGUUUGUCGUAUUCAUGAGAGGGGGGGGAUAUAUCAGACAAGCAGGAGGUGCUUGGGGAGUAUGUCCUGCAGUUUGGGAAAUACAAGGGAAAGUUAUUCCGGUGGCUUGCAGAGAAUGAUGUAGGGUAGGUAACAUACCUCAUCAAGAAGGUCAGGGAGGAGGAGAGAGCAGGCCAGUUUAAGCCAGAUGGUCCCAAGAAGGACAGCUUUUUGUCACUCCUGCAGUACAGCUACAGCUUCCAGGAGAUCAAGGACCUGCUGCUGUAUCUGGACAGUCCGGUAGAAACACCACCAGCUAAGGAUGACGAAGACAACCUAGUUGGUUUUGGGGUUCACACGAAGAGGACGUGGAGGGAUGUUUGGGAGCGGAGAGACGAUGGAUUUUCUGCGUUCAUCCUGCGACAGCAGUGUACGCCAGGCAGCAAAAUGUUUAGGCUCCAGGACUACCUGAAGAGGCAGAGUGCUUCUGAGGGACGUGCAUCCUCAGGGCAUGCAACAUCGGCCUCUCAUUGCCCAGCUUUCACAGAAAUGGAGGAUGAUGAUGAGUUGGAGAGGAUGAUGCUCUCUAUAUCCCCAUCCAAACUCCAAGCGGAGGAUGGAGUUGAGGAAUGGGAGAGAAUGAUGCCAGCCACACCUAUUCCAGGCCAUCUUGGUUCCCAAGUUGUCGGAGUCCCUGUGGUCAAAGGUUUUAUUCUUACUACAGUACUACUGAUUGUCCGGACAUGAAUUCGGAUGAUGUGUUCCACAUUUAUUUGUUGGUUAAGCCACGUUCUGGCCUGUUUGUUACGCCAUGUUCCGGCCUCUUUUAAUGCCUCGUAGUAUGAAUACACACAGAGAUGAUAAUACUAAUAAUAAAUUUUUUCUCUGUCCCCUAUUCUUCUUCCUCUCCCUCCACUACUCUCCAUUACUCCAGCACCCUCUGCCCUGUCUAGAGUACCUGCUCUGUCUACGGCAUCCAGGUCCUCUUCCGCCCUUCCUGCAGCACCUGCUCUGUCGGCGGCGUCGAGGUCGUCUACAGCACCCUCAACAUCAUAUCCACCUCCUGCAGCACCCUCGCCACCUUGUUCACCUGAUCCACCACUCCCAAGGUACGACCAGGAUGUGAUUCGUUGGAACUGCUCUCACCAUCAGAGAAUCUGGAUGAAGAUUGAGAUGGAGCCCUUGGGGCUUUGGCCAGGUCCUCGAACGGUGAGACAUCCAAUGAAUAUAAUCUCCUUGUGGCAUUACCCACCUCAGCCUGAGCUUAUUGACAGUGUUUACGAACUACCGUCGCCCAACUAUUUCCAGCUCCAUCCAUUUUUUAUAUGGAAGCCAGAGCACACCAUCAUGGAGCGAGUGAAGAACAACUACACUCUGCCCUGUCUCUAUAGCUGUGGAAGUCCUUUCGUAGUGUCAUCAGGAGUUGGGCGACCCCGUGUCAUUAUCGGCUUGGGUGGCCAGUAUUACAUCCUGGCGUCACGGCUCUGUUGCAAAGGAUGCAACAAGUUCUGGCACGCAGACAAGCCUCAAUGGUUGGACAUGUUGCCGAGCCGAUUCACCAAGAUCUUACCAGCUUUCCUUACCUUCAAAAAGGCAAUUUGUAAGACUGUGAUGGAUGAGCUGCGGCACUCUGGAAAGUCUCCCAAUGACAUGGCCAACCAGUUGAAUGAGGCUCUCCACCUCAAGUAUGAGCGGGCACACUUGGCAUACCUGGAAAGUGUGAAGAACGUGCUGGAUGGAGAGAGUGGACUGUAUGGACAGUGAACCAUCACAGGGGCAAUGAGAGCAACAUCAACUCCUGCUCCAUUUGGUGGGUAUGUGGAUGGGUGGCACGGAGUGAUGUUAUCGGGGCAUUACCUGGUCGAGUGCCUAAUUCAGGAGUUCCCCAGACAGGAAGACACCCUUGUUCUCCUCCAAGGCACAUUUGGUCAGGCCUUGAGAGCUGACCACACCAGGAAGGUGGCUCGGAAAGUGGUUCUUGCCUCAAGCACCAUGUCAUCAUAUGCUGUGAUGAAUGAAAAUUGGAUGAUCCUGUCCUGGGUUAUGCUUCAGACAGAGGGGGACAGAUCCUUGGAACCCAUGUACGAGGGGCUGUCUUGCCGUCGCAACUACGCAGACAUCCCCAAAGCCCAAUACCAGUGGGUUGACAGGUAAAAACUAAUCACCACCUUCCCCUUUUCACUUAUUUACUGUUAUUGCAACUUGAAUAAAACAAAGUGCAUCUUAAACAUUAUUCUCUCUGUGUGUGCAGGGACUGCUGUGCAGCCUUCAGGGUUUGAUUUAGUGGCUGAGGCUACUUCAGGGCCCCUCAACAACACCUGUGUAUCCCGCAGCAAGUUCAACAGCGACAUUGACAUCAAGCUGGACCUGUUUCAUUGCAUGCGCCGCCUCUCCAGAGUGUGUGUCAGAGCACCAUCCACUGCACAGCUCUUUCUGCAAGUUCCUUUCUGCAGCUUUCACUAUCGUGGACCAGACAGACCUGGAGAAACUUAAACAGGCAUACGUCUUCUGCGGUGUUGUGCCUGCUAAUCCCACCAAACAGCACACCAAAGAGCACUGUCGCACCAGGGUACCUGGUCCCUGAGAGCUGCUGGAGAGAGUCGAGCGCGUUCUGCAGCGAUUCCAUUUGGAGAAUGAUCCCGAUGGUAUGCCACUGUUUAAGCCGUCAAUGUUGACGGUGUGGAGGAUUCAGCGUUUUCACAUCCUCAGAGGCUGCUUGAGCGACCCAGAGGUUGCAGAGGGAAUCCUUUACAGAUAUGGCGGAACAGUGCAGCUCAACCAUGUCAAGGGAGACGGAGCUACUGUGCCCCUGUGGAUCCCUGUGAGAGGUACAUCACAGCAGCAGGGGUUCCAUUUCCAUCAGGCAAAAUGGGUGACGGGUAACAAGGUCUCCACAGAACUCUUCCAAGCUUAGGGCAUGAUUGGUGUGGCUCAGUGGAAUUUCAAGCGCUUUGUGGACCUGAAGUUGCCUGAUGUGAUGCUGCCUGCAGUCUUUGAUCCAGUACUGAUGAUGGAGCUGAAUAAGCUCUCUGAAGUGCUGACAGGUCAUGCCAAGUACCCUGCCUUGCGUGUUUCACACACUGACACAGGAGAAAGGUUUGGACUCCAGUAUCUAGAACCUGGCUGUCGUCCUGUCCCGCUGGACUGCAGCAAGCACAAGACCCAGAAGGUUCCUGUUGCAGGAGAGAGAGAGCACCACUCCUCAGAACCGUCUCUUCUCAGUGAGACAUUCACUGAAGACCCAUCUGAGGAGACGAGGGAGGAAGACUGUGCUCUGGAUGACCUCUUUGGUGUGGCUUCCCUUGGCUCACAUGCAGUGGCCCAACCCUCACAGCCAUUCAAAGUUCUAGUUCUCCCAGUCCCAGUGAUGCCACCGAUGCCCAUGUCUGCCUCUCCACGUGCUGCACGCACAGGUCCAGUCAAGGCAGGCGGCCUACUUUUUGUCCUGGACCAUUCCCGGUGGACACAGCCAAUGAGGGAUGCCAUCGACGGCCUUCUGGCAAAGCACCAUGACCAGAAAGACCUCCUCGCCAAGGUGGAUGCAGAGUAUGCUACCCUUGUGCUUGCUGCCUCCAGAGAUUCGAACAACUUGUUACAUCCGACCACCAAACAGCACAUCUCACGGUAUGUGAAACACCAGGCCAAGCUGAUGAACACAAGUUUGUGUCUGAACACCGGUCCAGAGAAACUCCUUGAGACACAAGAGCUGUGGCAUCAUCUCACAGAGGGUAGUGAAACUGUUUGUGUCCCGGUGGUAACCCUCCCACCUGCACCUGUGAAUCUGCCCAGCAGUAAGUCGCAAGAGCCCUCUCUCACAAAGGCUGAAAUGGAAAACCUGGUCAAAGAGCUUGUGCAAAAGCAGGAAAAGCAGCAGCAGCAGCAGCAACAACAGCAGCCUGUGCCAAAAAAAAGUAGGAACUGUCUUGCAUGUGGCCCGCCUAAUUCCCGUUACCUUGGUGAUGGCUGCUCCAUUCACUUCUUUUACCUGGCAGGAAAGGUAAAGUACUUUAACUGCUCUACAAAGAUGCAUCGGACCUAUGUAGCAGAAGGCCUUAAUGAUCCCCUGCAUGGAAUUUCUUGACUUUGCUGCCUUUUUUCAAGAGAGAGCUGGAGGCAGCAAAGCAGCGGUCUGCUGAGUCCAGGCAGGUAAAAGAAGAGCGGGGAAAGAGAAAGGCCAUGGAGCAGCUUCCCACUGGUCACCUGUGUAGGUUCUGCCACAAACCUAUAAAACAAGGCCCAGGCGGUCGGCAUACACACACUGGGUUCCCUGGUGUGACCGGGAAAUACGUGUACUGUCCUUCAAAAGUUUUUCACCUGUAUCAGUCAGAGGGGAUGACUUCGGAGAUGUCUUGGGAGGAGUUCUGUCAGUCUCCCUUUUAUGAGACUGAAAAGAAGAGGUGGGUGGCAGAAAAGGGAAGGUGAUUGGUCCGUUUGGAACACUUAUAGUUAUUCAAUUUGGUUCAUCUUUUAUUUUUUUUAUUUUGUUAUGGGUAUUUUCUGAUCAGAUGCUGGAAAUGCACUACUUUAAAGGUCUACCUUAAUUUACUAAGUUAAUUUCUAUGUCAUUUUUGUUAUUCAUUCAGUUCAUUUUAUCUUAGCUAUUUAAAUUACGCUGUUUAGUGUGUGUGUGCUUAUUUUGAAAUAAAACCAGUUUAAUACAAC